rnacentral:tRNA from 1 species
GGCAGCGUUGCUCAGUAGUAGAGUGCUUGCCUAGCACGCAUGAGGCCUUGAGUUCAAUCCCCAGUGCACCCA